rnacentral:rRNA from 1 species
UACGAGAGGCCCAAACGUUAUUCGGAAUUACUGGGCUUAAAGAGUUCGUAGGCGGCAUGAAAAGUAGGGUGUGAAAGCCCUCGGCUCAACCGAGGAAUUGCGCUCUAAACUGUCGUGCUAGAGGAACCUAGAGGUGGGCAGAACUGAUGGUGGAGCGGUGAAAUGCGUUGAUAUCAUCAGGAAUACCGGAGGCGAAGGCGGCUCACUGGGGGUUUUCUGACGCUGAGGAACGAAAGCCAGGGGAGCGAACGGG